rnacentral:rRNA from 1 species
GCAAUGGGCGAAGCCUGACGCAUCACGCCGCGUGAGGGAGAAGGCCUCAGGGCUGUAAACCUCUUUCCUCUGGGAAGAAGAUCUCACCGUACUUGAUGAAUAUUCCACGCCUAAUUCCCUGACCACACCCGCGGUAAUACCGGGCUGGCAAGCGUUAUCCGGAAUUAUUGGCUAUAAAGAAUCCGCAGGCGGCCCUUCAAGUCUGCUGUUAAAGCGUGGAUCUUAUCUCCGUCAUGGCCCUGGAAUCUGUUGGGCUUGAGUGUGGUAGGGGCAGAGGGAAUUCCCGGUGUAACGGUGAAAUGCUUCCAUGUCGGGAAGAACACCGCUGGCAAAGGCGCUCUGCUGGGCCAUCACUGACGCUCAUGGACGAAAGCCAGGGGAGCGAAAGGGAUUAAAUACCCCUGUAGUCCUGGACGUAAACGAUGAACACUACGUGUCGGGGGAAUCGACCCCCUCGGUGUCGUACCCAACGCGUUAAGUGUUCCGCCUGGGGAGUACGCACGCAAGUGUGAAACUCAAAGGAAUUUGACGGUAAA